AUCCUUUUGUAGUUCCUAAGUGUGAUGUUUGAGUGUUCACGUGCAUGUGUGAGAUGUGCCACCCUUGAACCUUGUUAUGAUGUCAGUACAUUUUCCCAUCUGACA
rfam:Chlorocebus sabaeus isolate 1994-021 chromosome 5, whole genome shotgun sequence.